CUCGGUGGCAUUUGGGGUGCUGGGAGAAUGCCCGCCCUGGUGGCGCCCCAGUGUCUGUCCUCUGAGCUGGGAUCCCGCCCGCCCCUUCCAGCCCCUGCAAGCCCCUGCGACUCUGGACUCUCGCUGUCUCCAGGUCCCUCAGCGCUUGGUUCCGGGUUCCUAACCAGGUGAGCAUCUUGGCCAGGAUAUGAGAGUCACCCAGCCUCACCUGAGGAAGCUGCUGCUUCUCCUGAAGCCUCUAAGAAAAAAGGAAACCCACUGCAG
rnacentral:lncRNA from 1 species